rnacentral:rRNA from 1 species
GGUUAAGCGACCAAGCGUACACGGUGGAUGCCCUGGCAGUCAGAGGCGAUGAAGGACGUGCUAAUCUGCGAAAAGCGCCGGCGAGGUGAUAUGAACCCUUGACCCGGCGAUGUCCGAAUGGGGAAACCCAGUGUGACUCGUCACACUAUCAUUAACUGAAUCCAUAGGUUAAUGAGGCGAACCGGGGGAACUGAAACAUCUAAGUACCCCGAGGAAAAGAAAUCAACCGAGAUUCCCCCAGUAGCGGCGAGCGAACGGGGAGGAGCCCAGAGCCUGAAUCAGCAGGUGUGUUAGUGGAAGUGUCUGGAAAGGCACGCGAUACAGGGUGAGAGCCCCGUACACGAAAAUGCACCUGCUGUGAGCUCGAUGAGUAGGGCGGGACACGUGGUAUCCUGUCUGAAUAUGGGGGGACCAUCCUCCAAGGCUAAAUACUCCUGACUGACCGAUAGUGAACCAGUACCGUGAGGGAAAGGCGAAAAGAACCCCGGCGAGGGGAGUGAAAAAGAACCUGAAACCGUGUACGUACAAGCAGUGGGAGCACCCUUCGGGGUGUGACUGCGUACCUUUUGUAUAAUGGGUCAGCGACUUAUAUUCUGUAGCAAGGUUAACCGAAUAGGGGAGCCGGAGGGAAACCGAGUCUUAACCGGGCGUUAAGUUGCAGGGUAUAGACCCGAAACCCGGUGAUCUAGCCAUGGGCAGGUUGAAGGUUGGGUAACACUAACUGGAGGACCGAACCGACUAAUGUUGAAAAAUUAGCGGAUGACCUGUGGCUGGGGGUGAAAGGCCAAUCAAACCGGGAGAUAGCUGGUUCUCCCCGAAAGCUAUUUAGGUAGCGCCUCGUGAACUCAUCUCCGGGGGUAGAGCACUGUUUCGGCUAGGGGGCCAUCCCGGCUUACCAACCCGAUGCAAACUGCGAAUACCGGAGAAUGUUAUCACGGGAGACACACGGCGGGUGCUAACGUCCGUCGUGAAGAGGGAAACAACCCAGACCGCCAGCUAAGGUCCCAAAGUCAUGGUUAAGUGGGAAACGAUGUGGGAAGGCCCAGACAGCCAGGAUGUUGGCUUAGAAGCAGCCAUCAUUUAAAGAAAGCGUAAUAGCUCACUGGUCGAGUCGGCCUGCGCGGAAGAUGUAACGGGGCUAAACCAUGCACCGAAGCUGCGGCAGCGGCACGCAAGUGUUGUUGGGUAGGGGAGCGUUCUGUAAGCCGUUGAAGGUGUGCUGUGAGGCAUGCUGGAGGUAUCAGAAGUGCGAAUGCUGACAUAAGUAACGAUAAAGCGGGUGAAAAGCCCGCUCGCCGGAAGACCAAGGGUUCCUGUCCAACGUUAAUCGGGGCAGGGUGAGUCGACCCCUAAGGCGAGGCCGAAAGGCGUAGUCGAUGGGAAACGGGUUAAUAUUCCCGUACUUGGUGUUACUGCGAAGGGGGGACGGAGAAGGCUAUGUUGGCCGGGCGACGGUUGUCCCGGUUUAAGCGUGUAGGUGUGUGUUCCAGGUAAAUCCGGUUCACUUUAACACUGAGGCGUGACGACGAGGCACCACGGUGCUGAAGCAACAAAUGCCCUGCUUCCAGGAAAAGCCUCUAAGCGUCAGGUAACAUCAAAUCGUACCCCAAACCGACACAGGUGGUCAGGUAGAGAAUACCAAGGCGCUUGAGAGAACUCGGGUGAAGGAACUAGGCAAAAUGGUGCCGUAACUUCGGGAGAAGGCACGCUGACACGUAGGUGAAGCGGUUUACCCGUGGAGCUGAAGUCAGUCGAAGAUACCAGCUGGCUGCAACUGUUUAUUAAAAACACAGCACUGUGCAAACACGAAAGUGGACGUAUACGGUGUGACGCCUGCCCGGUGCCGGAAGGUUAAUUGAUGGGGUCAGCGCAAGCGAAGCUCCUGAUCGAAGCCCCGGUAAACGGCGGCCGUAACUAUAACGGUCCUAAGGUAGCGAAAUUCCUUGUCGGGUAAGUUCCGACCUGCACGAAUGGCGUAAUGAUGGCCAGGCUGUCUCCACCCGAGACUCAGUGAAAUUGAACUCGCUGUGAAGAUGCAGUGUACCCGCGGCAAGACGGAAAGACCCCGUGAACCUUUACUAUAGCUUGACACUGAACACUGGUCCUUGAUGUGCAGGAUAGGUGGGAGGCUUUGAAGCGUGGACGCCAGUCUGCGUGGAGCCGUCCUUGAAAUACCACCCUUUAAUGGCUGGUGUUCUAACGUGGGCCCCUGACCGGGGUUGCGGACAGUGUCUGGUGGGUAGUUUGACUGGGGCGGUCUCCUCCCAAAGAGUAACGGAGGAGCACGAAGGUUGGCUAAUCCUGGUCGGACAUCAGGAGGUUAGUGCAAUGGCAUAAGCCAGCUUGACUGCGAGCGUGACGGCGCGAGCAGGUGCGAAAGCAGGUCAUAGUGAUCCGGUGGUUCUGAAUGGAAGGGCCAUCGCUCAACGGAUAAAAGGUACUCCGGGGAUAACAGGCUGAUACCGCCCAAGAGUUCAUAUCGACGGCGGUGUUUGGCACCUCGAUGUCGGCUCAUCACAUCCUGGGGCUGAAGUAGGUCCCAAGGGUAUGGCUGUUCGCCAUUUAAAGUGGUACGCGAGCUGGGUUUAGAACGUCGUGAGACAGUUCGGUCCCUAUCUGCCGUGGGCGCUGGAAGAUUGAGGGGGGCUGCUCCUAGUACGAGAGGACCGGAGUGGACGCAUCACUGGUGUUCGGGUUGUCAUGCCAAUGGCACUGCCCGGUAGCUAAAUGCGGAAGAGAUAAGUGCUGAAAGCAUCUAAGCACGAAACUUGCCCCGAGAUGAAUCUUCCCUGAGACUUUAAGUCUCCUGAAGGAACGUUGAAGACGACGACGUUGAUAGGCCGGGUGUGUAAGCGCAGCGAUGCGUUGAGCUAACCGGUACUAAUGAACCGUGAGGCUUAACCUU